rnacentral:rRNA from 1 species
UGAGUGGCGGACGGGUGAGUAACGCGUGGGCAACCUGGCCUGUACAGGGGGAUAACACUUAGAAAUAGGUGCUAAUACCGCAUAACGGGAGAAGCCGCAUGGCUUUUCCCUGAAAACUCCGGUGGUACAGGAUGGGCCCGCGUCUGAUUAGCCAGUUGGCAGGGUAACGGCCUACCAAAGCGACGAUCAGUAGCCGGCCUGAGAGGGCGGACGGCCACACUGGGACUGAGACACGGCCCAGACUCCUACGGGAGGCAGCAG